rnacentral:lncRNA from 1 species
AUUAGCUAUGUCCAACAAUAGUUUUGAGGGUUCCAUUCCAAUGGAAUUUUGCAAGUUGAAUAGGUUGGAAUUUUUGGAUCUUUCUCAAAAUAAUUUAUCUGGCUCUAUACCGUCAUGUUUUAAUCCACCAUACAUAGAGCAUGUCCACCUCCACGGGAAUAGACUGAGAGGCCCACUAUCACUUGCUUUUUAUAAUAGCUCUUCAAUAGUGACUUUAGAUCUUAGAGGAAACAAUUUGACAGGUAGUAUUCCAAAAUGGAUUUACACGCUUUCUUCUUUGAGUGUUCUUCUCUUGAAAGAUAAUCAUUUUCAUGGUAAAGUUCCUGUUGAGUUAUGCAAGUUGCACUCUUUAAGCAUCAUAGAUCUUUCUCAAAAUAUGUUUUCUGGUCCUAUACCUUCUUGUUUGGGAAAUUUAUCUCUUCCAUUGAAAGAGAAAGAGAGUCUAGCAAUUGGGUACUACCUUCCAUUUAUAGAAUCGGGUGAAUCAGCAUCCAUUGCAAUGAGAAAAUUCGAAAGGGACAUAAAUCUUUACUAUCCUAUAAGCUACUUAGAAGAAGUAAUAGAGUUCACAACAAAGAGUGGGUUCUAUUCAUACAAGGGCGACACCCUUUCAUAUAUGACUGGGAUUGAUUUAUCUUGCAACAACUUAACUGGUCAUAUCCCACCAGAAUUAGGGAACUUGAGUGAAAUCCAUUCUUUAAACCUUUCACACAAUAAGUUGACCGGAGUUAUACCCUCGUCACUCUCAAAACUACAUCAAAUUGAGAGUUUGGACCUUUCUUACAACAACUUAAGUGGUGAAAUCCCCAAUCAAUUGGUAGAGUUAAACUCUUUGGAGGUUUUCAGCGUGGCAUUUAACAACUUGUCAGGUAGUAUUCCCGAACCAAAAGCUCAAUUUGGGACCUUUAUUGAAAAUAGUUAUCAGGGAAAUCCGUUUCUUUGUGGAGUUAUAUUGCAUAAAAGUUGUUCCAAAACCGAUUCACCAUCAACGAUAUCAACUGUAUCAGAAGAUAAAGGAGAAGAUGGUUUGAUAGAUACUUAUGAUUUUUUUGUGAGCUUUUUGGUUUCUUAUGUAGUUGUGUUGUUGACAAUUUUUGUUGUCCUCUACAUAAAUCCACACUGGCGAAGAGCUUGGUUUUCUCUUGUUGGGAAAUGCAUUACCACCUGUCGCUACUCAAAUGUGGGCAAUUUUCUUACUUAUCACAUUUUCAAGCAAUCUGUUUAGCUACUCAAAUUGUGAUUUGAUUUCCACACCUAAAUGUUUAAUUAUGCUAAGUUGAGCGAUAAUGAAUAUUUUGUUGAUUUUUGCAUUUUGAAUAAAGGCUCUUUUAUCUUAUGGUUUUAUCAUUUCCAACCAUCUAUUUCUUUUUUCUUCUACGAAAUUUAUUAUGUAUAUGCAAUAUCUCUUUGAAUUAAAUUAAAUUGACUGCCAAGAGUUCACUAAUGCAUACCGAAAAGGAAAUCUAAUGUAAAAUUAAACCAAACAUACUAAAAAAUUGAAUCUAAAACUAGAAUAUUUUAAAACCUCACAAACAAUGCAAGUCUUUGUUCCUCUUUUCCUCUCAAGUCAUUUUGUAUCAUGUGAUAUUUUACAUAAUUAUUCGUAUCAUCGAAUUUUUAAAAAAUUUAAUAUAUUGAUAUCAUGAUUAUAUUAUGCUUUAAUUCACAAUGUAUUUUGUAUAAUGUGUUAUAACAAUUCAAUUAAAAGACAAGCAAUUAUCUUAUUUUUGCGUACCAUAUUAUACUAUACAUUGACAUGUUAAUAAUUCGUUGUACAUAAAUUUUGACAUGUUCGUAUAUUUGAGUCAUUAUAAUUUUAUUAUUUGUAAUAUGACAUGUUUUAAUUACCCUUAAUAUUGCGUCAUGAUAAUUAUAAAUCGAUUGGCAGUCUACCAAAUAAUUUUUCUAAUAAAAAAUAGUAUUUUAUUCUAUUUACCAAAUCUUUAUCAACUUUAUAUUCUCACCAACAAAACAUACAUUCAAAGUUCAAAUAAGUUCCGCACCCAUUUUUUUACUGCAAUACUCAAGAAUAUGCUCAUCAUCAGAAAUCUGAAAUAUUCCACUUUAAUUAACAUUAAUUAUGAUUCUGUAAACAACAAAAAAGUGUGAUCCUUUGAAAUGGGAUUGGCAAAAAAUCCGCACGUGUCAGUGUGUGAAGAAGGUGAGGUUGUCUAUUCAUACUCUAAUAAGUAGCUAAUUAUAGUUGAUCCUACAAAAUCAAAAUUAAUUCAGGUAUCUAUAUAUUCUGAAGACUGGACAGACCUUAGAAGCUUCUUCAAAUUUGCAAGAACAUGUCGUGGUCCUAAACUCUUUACACCGAUGAAAUUCAAAAGUUGCUCUAUAUCCUGCAAUCACAGUAAAGAUUAUGCAAUCAUUUCAGAACGAAUAACAAGAAGCAAAAGGCGAUCAAAAUACCGUGAUCUCGAUAAUGUUCUUUGCCGAAAAGGAACAUUAACUUAACCUUAAAACAGCAGUGAAGGCUCACCAGAUUUGCUUAGCAACCUUACAUACACAUGUAAAAAAAGCUUUGCUUUUGGAUGUAAGGUGUGACUAUCAUCACAGUCUUUCCUAAUUAGCUGAUUGUAAUACCCAAUUUGCCCAGCCCACAAUAAAAAACCAAAUAAAUAAAAAUUAAUUAAAACUCAAAUAGUUCACAGCCCAAUAACAACAAAAACCAAACCCAUUUACAGUGACCCAGUACAAACCCAAAGUCAGAUACAUCUAGUCCAACUACACCCAGCCCAAAUACCUAGCCCAAUACAACUAUCAACCCAACCCUAGCCCAAAAAAAAAUCAGAAAACCCUAGCAGCAACAGCCCUCCUUCCAGCGCCGCAGCCACCAGGGCCUUCCCCGAGUGUGCUGUGCCACGUCCACCAACUCCUUACGCCAGCUAGCCUCCUUACCUGCAAAGAAGACGAAAACAACGCAGCAGAGAGAAUUUUUUGUAUUUUCUUUCAUUUUAUUUCGAAUAUUCGGCUAUAAAGAGGGAGAAGGCCAUUGUAAUCCUUUUUUACGCAUAUUGAAUACAAACAAAAAAUCAAAACAGAAAGUUUUUUCGAAAGGUGAUUUUCUUCGUUUUUUUUUCUCUUUUAUUUCUUUGAUUCUUCGUUUUCUUCUUUGGCACCAAACGAAAAAAAAAAGAGGGAGAGAAGAAGCGUCUUACCAGAGCAGACGCCAUUGGAAUCUGGUUUGCUCCGUCUGAAUCGGAGUCAGAUUGGGUUCGUGACUGGAGACCGGUGGGGAGAAGGCUAGGCUCUUGAUCUGUUUUAGGAUGGCAAAACAAAUUAUUAGGGUUUUAUUUUUUUAGGUUUUUAACGAUAAUAAAACGGUGCCGUUUAAGCCCGAUUUAAUGGCUUCAAAACGUCUCCGUGUUGGUUGACCCGAUGAUCCGAUUUGACCCGGGGAGGAUCCGCGUGUUUUGUUUCAAUGGCUUAUUCUCCUGUUUGGUCCUUCUGUUUUUUAUUUACUUCAUUUUAAUCCUUAUUUGUCUUUUUUAAUUUUGCCACAUAAUUCGAUCUUUCUUUCAAUUUCGUUCUUCUGUCAGUUGAGGAGACAAACGUUCGAAACGACGCCGUUUCUGAUGAUCUGACUUGAUUGCCAGGUGAGACUUGUGCGUUUAAUUUCUUUUCUAGUCACUCUGAUUUUAAAUUAAUUUCAAUUAGGUCCUUUUCAUUUCAUUUUAUUGCACGUCUUACCCCUAAAUUUCUGUUUUAAUUCCAAAUUAGUAAUCUGUUUUGUUAUUUUUGCUAUCAAAUUAAUUACUUUAAUAUUAUUUUAUCAUUAUUACUAUUAUUACUAUUAUUAUUAUUAUUAUUAUUAUUAUUAUUAUUAUUAUUAUUAUUACUGCUACUAUUAUUAUUAUUAGUAUUAUUUUUUAUCAAUUUAUCUAACCUUUUUAUAUUCAUUAUUUUAUUCUAUUAUGCACUAUUAUUUUAAGUUUUUUUUAUAUUAUUAUAAUAUAUUAUUAUUUAAUUUCAUAAUAAAUUAUUUUAUAUUUUUAUGUUAAUCCAAUAGAAUUUACCUUUUUUAAAUAGUUUUCUUUUAUAAUACGUAAUUUAUAUCUAUUACCUAUUUAGAUUAAUAUAUAUGUAUUAUUUUGGGUUUUAUUUAUUUUGACUUUCUUCUUAUAAUAUUUAUUUUAAAAUUCAUUUAGAUAUUAUUAUUCAUUUUUAAUUCUAUUUUUAAAUUAUUUCAAGUCUUCCUAUUAAUUAUUUCUUUUAAAUUUUUAUAUACGUGUAUUUUGUGUAUAUAUGUUGAUAAUUUCAAAUUUCUUUUCUCUCAUGCCUUUUUUUUUAGUUAUUUUAAAUUUGUUGUAUUUGCGAUAGGCUUUUAGGUCAUUAGCUUUCAAAUGUUGAUGUUAAUAUUUACAUGUGAUUAUUGCUCUUAUAUGUAUGAUAAUGUUUAUUUGUUUUUUUUGAUUAUUUGUCAUUCGUUAGAGUAUAUUUUGUUUACAAAUCGUCAUUCCGCGUUAUACAUUAUCGUCCCGUCGCAUUUUAUUCGUUGUUAAAAGGUUACGUUUAAUAUCAUUCAAGUAUCGAGAGCAUUUUUAUUCAAAAAGUUUUUUUUUCAAAAAUAACGCGACACUCGGAAUUUAGGAUCCUCGAAAAAAUUGUGUCCUAACUUAUUGGAUUCCAAUCUUCCUCGUUGAAUCUAAGAAACCGGGUAUCCUUUUUUAAUUAAAGCAUAAAUAAAAAGCUCAUUCUCGAAAAUUCGAUACGUCGUGUCCUAACGUAUUGGAUAUGACAUGUCAUUUUCUCGAGAUGAAGAUUUUAAAAAUAAUAAUAAUAAGGGCAAUAUUCAAUGCUCGGAAUUUUGAGAAAUUGUGCCCUAACGUAUUGGGCUCCGAUUUUUCAUCUGAGUUAAAGCAAUUGAAUAUCCUUUUUAAACUUCACCGCACGAGCUUUGAAAAUCAAAAGACAAGCUUAUUCUCGAGGACUAAAAUGUCGUGUCCUAACGUAUUGGGUGUGACAUUUUAUUAUUCCAAGACAAAAAGGUCUUUAGCAUUCGCUUCGAUUUAUCCAAGCAUCUUUUAUAAAAUUAACAUUAACAAAAAGGGAGGAUCGUAUUUUUAAAUUCUUCACAGAUUUUCGAUAUUCGGCAUUAAGACCUUAAUUAAUUAAUUCGGUACCAAUUUUGGGCGUUAAGAGGGUGCUAACUCUUUCUCAUGCGUAACCGACUCCCGAACCUGUUUUCUCAAAUUUUGCAGACCAAAAUCGUUUUUAAGGUGAGCCGAUCACACCCCAAUAAAGGAUCGAUGGCAACUCCAAUUUUCGUUUUUAAAGUCAACAACUAAUUUUUGUUCGCCAAAAAAGUGGUUUCGACACUGAUAACCUUAUAUCUAACAUUUAUCAGGGCUAAGCAAAUUAACAUACAUGAUGUAAAGGAAUUUGACUAUAAGAUCCAACAGAAAACUUAAUAAAAGAUAAUCAACAUAGAAAGUUAGAAGGCAAUGCAGACUUAUUACAAUGAUGCAAGUGGAUCAAAAGAAAGCACUUCUAUAAGGAAUUUGCAUUUAAGGCAUUCUAAACAGAAAAAAAAAUGAUAAAACUUUUUGGAAAGUAUUUUCAAAUAGGAGACAAAAACAGGGUAGAAACAAUGUUUGAUCCUUCUUUUUUCUAUUUACAAUUUUAGGGUGCAUUCUCUAUUGUGGUGAAAAAGCCGUUUUGGGUUAAAAGUUUUUUUACACUGCAGAAGUGUUUUUCCACUGAGAAGUGAUGAAGAACACACCGCUUUUGUAGUCAAAAACUGUUUUUGGCUUUUGCAUUUCGAAGUGAAAAUUAUCAAAAUACUUUUAUUUUCAUUAACUAUUUAAAAGGUACAUAAAAAAUUUUAAAAAAAAUUUUAAAAAAAGAGCAUUAGAGGAAAUGAGAUUGAAGAGUCUCUAUUUACACUUUUCACAUAUUUUUAAUUCAUUCAACUUAUAACUUAAUAUUGAAACCAUUUUUUUUAAAAGGGUCGACGUUGGUUUGAAAAUGGAAAUUAAAACGGGAGUUCCCACCAAUCUUUUUUUUAUGAGGUGUGAUUAGGUCACCUCAUAAUUUAGUUGUUUUAAUAAAAUAUUUUAAUUUAUCAAAACAGUGAUUUUGGUCUAUGAAAUUUGAGAAAAUGGAUUCGGGAGUCAGUUACAUGCGAGGAAGGAUUAGCACCCUCGUCACGCCCAAAAUUGGUACUCAAUUGAUUAAUUAAUGUCUAAAUGUUAAAAAUUGAAAAACUUCGAAAGAAUUUAAAACACGAUCCCCUUUUGUUAACGCUAUUUUAAUUUAAAAGAAUUUGCUUGAAUAAAUUGAAACGAAUGUCAAAGAUCCUCUCGUCUCGAGAUAAUAAAUGUCACAUCCCGUAAGUUAGGACACGACACUUAGAACCCUUGAGAAUAAGCUAGCCUUUAACUUUAUUGGAAUUUCAUAAAUUUUGAAAAUUAGAAGGAUAUUUUGCUAUUUAGGUUCAACGAGAAAAUUGAAACCCCGUAAGUUAGGGUACAAUUUCUCAAAUCUCCAAAACGCGAAAUAUUGUCUUAUUUUAAAACUUUUCCCCGUUUUGAAUAAUUGUGAGUACAAUGCUUGAACGAGGUGCAUUUGUUUUAUUUGUGACACAAUAGAACGGUUUAUUAUGGGUAAAUACAAAUUGAAUGCAACUUUCGAAGUGAUGAAGUGAAAUGGAAUGAUAACAUAGAACAUAAAAUAACAAUUUAUGAAAAAAAAAGUUUUGUUAAUGAGUGAUAAUAAUAUGAAAACACGAAGAAACUAAUUAUAGUACACAUGACGGAAAUAAUCACACAAUGUAUAUAAUUUUUUAUACUAAUAUUAACAAUAAAAAAAACAAAACAAAAUAAUAUGCAAAAAAAUUUCAAAGUAAAUAAUAAUUUAAAGUAAAUAAUUUAUAAGAACAAUUCAAAAAUAAAUAAUAACCGGCUUCAAAUAAACAGUAUAUAAAAACUUAAAAUGAAUAAUAAUAACAGUUUAAAAUAAAUAAAUAAGAAACAUACAACAGUUUUUAAAAAAAAAUAUAUAUGUAUAUAAAAAUUUAAAAGAUAAUGUACAUAUAAUGGUUUAAAAUGACUAAUAUAUAAAAAAUUUAAAUAAAUAGUAUGUAAAACAAUUUAAAAUAAAUGAUAAAUAAAAAAAACUUAAAACAAAUAAUAAUAAAAGAGUUUUUUAAAUAAAAAAUAAUGAACAAAUAAAUUAAAUGGACUAAGGAUGAUACUAAAAUCGACCCAGAAUUUGGGGUUCAAAUUACAAAUAAAUAAAAAAAGGGUUGCUAGGGACUGAAAUAGAGCGCGCUUAAGGAAUGAGGGACCGACUGGGCAAUAUUCCUAGCCCCUAUGCGCAGCGUUUCAGCUCGGACCAAAGUAAAACAAUCAAAAAAUUAUGCGGCCAAAAUAUAAAAACAACGAGGACCAGAUUGCACUAUACUACAAAAGCGGAAGGGCUGAAUAUGCAAAUAGCUCCUCAAAGCUAAAACGCGCAGAUCCUGGCCGCAUUCGAGUCGAUUUUCAGGUCUGAUGCAAAAUGGCAUUGUUUUGGCCACUGAUGCUUAAGUCCAAAACGGCGUCGUAUUAUACCCUAUAUAAAUAGCAAAAAAGAAGAAGAAAAAAACGGUUCAACUUUCAUUUUUCUAAAAAAACAGAGAACUCUCUCAGUAUCUCUUGGUCUCUCUCUCAGCCCACCCCUUGGCCGGCCAUGGUCGCCGUCGUAGUGCUGUCGUGGCCGGUGGUCGGUGUUGCGCAAAAAGGCAUUUUUAGCCCCCGUUUCGCAGCUCCCUUGGAAGCCCAGCCCUCUCGACCCAAAAAAGCGAAAGAGGAAGACUCUCGACCCCCUCUCGGAUCCGAUGGCAACAACGGAGAAGAGCCUUCUGACGGCACGAUCACGGGGCGUCUCCGGUGAGCCCUUUCUUCCUUUUUUUUAUUUUAUUAUUUUCGUAUAUAUAUAAAAAAUAAAAUAAAAAUAUGAAUAUAGAAUCAAAUAGGUAUUUAAAACAGAAAUAAAAGUAGAAAUUCACCUUGAAAGUGUUGUUUUUGUUUUUUUAUUUUCUAAUGUUCGCAAAAAAAUUACAAGGGUGAGAUUCGGGCUUUUAUAGCCGAAUCAAAAAUGUUUGUUUCUUCCUUUUUUAUCUAUUUCCUUGUUGUUUCCUCUAUUUGGCCUUUGUUGUUGCGUGUUGCCUUGGUUUUGCAAGUGUCAGAUGCGUGGAUGGUCGAAGAUAGGCGAGCCUCGAGCGGCAGCGACGGCGUGCGGCGCAGGUGGUCAUGCAGCGUUGGAGGCUUAGGGGGAUAGGGUUUUUUUUGUUGCGUUUAAGUGUUGAGCUAAUUGGGCUAUAGUUAGUUUUGGGUUAUUGAGUUUUAAUUUGUAUUUGGGCUGCUAAUUUGGGUUUGUUUGUAAAAUGGAUGGAUUGUUUUAAUUAUUUUGGACUCUUUUAUUAUUUGGUUUGGGUUUUGUUUUGAAAUCUGGCCCAGGUUAAAAUUGGCCUAUUAUACUUGUCUCCUCAUAUCAAUUGCUCUAUUUAUUUUAUUAUUUUAUAAUUAGGGAUAAGAAAUGAGAUUGUUUGGGAUUAAACUCAAACUUUAUACGUAUUACAUAAUACUUUUAUCAAGGCGAAGCUAAGGAGACCUGACAGGGCCCCACCCCCUAAAAUGAAAAAUUUCACAUUUAGUCUUUUUAUAAUUUUAAAAUUAGUAUAUGAUAAACUUAUACUUUAUCCUCUCAAAAAUAAGAAAAAAAUUAUUUAAUAUUUUAAAAAUUAAAGAUAUAAACUAUUAUAAUAAUAAAAUUUCACUUUUGCUAUUAUAAAAAUAUAUAACUUUAUUCACGCCCCUCAAAAAAUUUUCUGGCUGCCUCUGAAUCUUUUGCCAUCAUGCUAAGAGAUUGGUGGCAGCUUUAUACAAUUCUAUUAGUUGGUUAAUAAAGAAAAAAAUCAUAUCAUUAUGAUGAGAUAAAUUUAUUUUAAAUAAUAAUUUAAUAAAAAAUAAAUCUUUUUUUGGUUGUUUUCUAUUUUGAUUCACAGUCUCCCUUUUGAUCUUGUUCUGUAGCUUAUAGCACUCAGAUUGAAUGUGCACUUUCUUCUUGCAGAAGUUACAAGUUUUACCUCUGCUUGAAAACUUCGAUCUACUUUUAGAUUUGCUGUGAGGAUUCUGUUCCUGUGUCCUUCCACGAUCAUCAUUAGCAUUCUGAUCUUAUCUCUCACGAAUAAUGAGACCCUCUCAUUGAGAGUCAGUUUUAACUAUAAGAUGCAUCAUCUUAUCAUACGAGGUUAAAGAAUUAUAAACCUCAUCAACUGUGAGAGACUCGCGACUAUAGAAAAUUUUAUCUCUAAAGGUUGAAUAAGACGGGGCAACGAACAAAGUAGAAUCAACCCUAAAUCUUCCUUAUCAUACUGAACCUCCAUGGCCUCCAAAUUUGAGAGAAUUUCUUUAAACACUGUCAAGUGUUCAUGCACAGACGCACCUUCCUCCAAACAAUGAGCAUAAAGACGUUGCUUCAUAUGCAGCUUACUAGUUAGAGUUUUCGACAUACAUAGUUGUUCCAACCUUUUCCAUAAUCAAGUGGCGGCAUUCUCCUUUAUCACAUCCUGUAAAAUUUUGUUAGACAAAUGCAGAUGUAAUUGUGUUAACGCCUUUCAAUCCUUGUGCUUCUUCUCUUCCUCCAUCAAUGUUAAAGGCAUCUUAUCUAACCUUAGCAGGGCUUCCUCUAAGUUCAUCUGUGCAAGAACUAUCUGCAUCUUUAUCUACCAAAAUGCGAAUCUGGUGUUGCGAUCCAACAGUAGAAUUUCAUACUUCAAAGACAUCAUUACCGUGAUUGAGAUGAGCAACCCAGAAGCUCGAAUACCAAUUUGUGAAAAUAAAUGUCGGUAAUGACAAUAUAUCGCAAAGAAAAUAGAAAUAGAAAAAUAAAGAACACACAAAUUUUACGUGGAAACCCUUUCGGGAAAAAACCACUGGCAGAGGAGAAGAAAAUUCACUAUGUCGAAUUUGAAUUAAUUACAAGAGGAGUAGACUAUGUCUAUUUAUAGGCUUGUAAAACUUUAUUCUAAUAGGAGUGAAACUCUUUAUUCUAAUCAAUAUCAAAUAAAUGGAGUUUAAUAAGAUUUAAAAAACCUUAUUCUAAAAUAAAAAUAAAAGAAGUAUAAUUCUAUAGGGAUUUUACUUUUCUUUUAUUUUAACACUGUAUUUUAUUUAAAUAAGAAUUCGGAGCACUUAAUUCUAACAGAAUAUAUUCCAAGAAUUUAAAUCUAUCAAUUAAUAAAACAUGUAAAUAAGAGCAACCAAAAGUUUGAGAAGAAACAUUAAUAGAAUUACAAUCUGCGUUAAACUAAUUCAUCAUUUCCAAUUAUUUGGAUUAAUGUAAACAAAACAAUACCAUUAGAAAGUUAAUCUCCCAUAAAUGAGAUAAAUAUCAAAUGUAUACAUAAAUUUUGAUUUAAUGUGCAAUUUGAUACAUGAACUUUGAUUUGGUAUAAUUAUAAGCAUGAAACUUGAAUUGUGGUCCAUAUGUAUACCAAACAGAGAGAUGAUGAUGAUGGAGUGGAAAUGGUUAUAGUUUAUUAGGAUGGCAAUAAUGUUGUUGGUGUUAGAAGGAUGCAGAUGGUGUACUACUGAUGCUUGUUUGGAGCAUGAGAGAAUCACUCUCUUGCAUCUCAAGCCUUUCUUCGUUUAUCGGAAUCCAUUGCAAAGUUGGGUUGAGGUGAAGGGUUCAGAUUGUUGUAAAUGGGAAGGAGUUGAGUGUAACACCACCACUAGGAGACUCAUACAACUCUCCCUUAUUUCUACAAAAUGGGAAGACAAUAGGGAAUACAGCAUGGAUAAUAGGAAUCUCAUUGCCUGGUAUCUCAAUGCCUCUAUGUUUCUUCCUUUUGAGGAAUUGAAGAGACUUUAUUUGUCGGGAAAUGCCAUAGGUGGUAACCUUGAAAAUGAAGGUCGUGCCUUUAUUUUUUUCCUUAAUUAAAUCUUUUACUAUUCCACUAUUCUCAUCAUUGUUAAUUUACAAUUACUUAUAUUUUAUUUUAUUGAAGAAAAGUCACUAACUGCUUGUAUAUAUUUAAAAGAACACUUCUACAGGCUUUGGAAAACUAUCAUUCACAUUGAGUAAUUUGGAGAUCCUUGACUUAAGUUACAAUUACUUGAAUGAUAGCAUUUUGUUAUCUUUGAGUGAGCUUUCAUCUCUCCGGUAUUUAGAUCUAUCAUACAACCAAUUUGAAGGAUCAAGUCAUCUAAGAGGUAAAUUAAGUUUGGUCCGGUGUUAGUUUUUAUUUGUAUAGUGGAGUUUGAGGAUGGUCUUCUAGGCCUGGUACCUAGUUUUCCAUUCUUUUUAUCCGUUGUAAUUCCAUUUUUACUUUAGUAAAAUUUUCUUAUAGGUAAGAAAGAAAAAAAAUUAACAAGUAAUUUUCAACUUUAAAAAUCAAUGUAUGUUCAAGUUUGAUUUUAUCAUAUCAUAUAUAACUAAUCAAUAUUUGGGAUUGAAUAAUUUGACAAACUUGAAAUACUUGUAUUUAAGCGACAACAAUAUUGAAAGCAUCUCAAACCAAGGUAUAAGUACAGUAUUUAUAUGUCAAUUCAUAUUAAAGGUAGACUGGUUUUAUAUGUUUCUUUUUUACUUUAAAACCAAUUUUUGUUUAAGGGAAAGUUAAUGUUGCAAGAUGUCUUUGCUUUUAUCAUAUCAUGAAUAUAUAUAAUUGAUCAAUAUUUGGGAUUGAAUUUCAAAAUUGAAUAAUUUGACAAAUUUAAAGUACUUGGAUUUAAGUGACAAUAGAAUUGAAAUCAUCUGAAAUAAAGAUAUAAGUAUUUGCGCAUAACUUUCUUGACCGACUCUUAUUCGAAAAAGCAAUGACAGACUUCAAAUGUAUUUUCUUUAGUGAAUUUUUAUUGUAAAAAUGGAGUAUUAUUAUUUAUUUAUGUUUUGUAGUGACUAAUUAUAUAAUAUAAAAUGCCAAAGGAGAAUAAUUCAUCUUGGAAAAAAAAAUUACUAAUAUGCAAAAGCUUACCUUGUUUAACAAGAACACAGCAUAUGCUGCUCUUGUCGUGUCUUGACCUUCUAAAAACAGCGGAAAUUCUACCGGCUUUACAUUUGCUGAAAGUGUUGUAUCCAAUGACAAAUCAGAAGAUGCAUGGUCUAUUGAAGACGCAUGGUCAUUAAUAUAUGAGCGAGAACCACCCAAGCGCAGAGGAUAACACAAGGGAACUUGUAAAUAGGAUGCGAUUAGUGAAACAGCCUGCAAAUGAUGAAAUAGCUGGACACAAGAAACAAUAAUAGGUAUGAUUAAAAUAUAGCCUCAGCAUGAGAAACAAACAAUCAAGAUGCAGCCCACUAUACCAUAUUACCAUCCUAGCAAUACCUGCAAAACUUUCAUCAAAACGGUAAUAACACUUUUGGACAAUGUGUCCAAUUUUACCACACAACUGGCAUUGGGGCCGAUUGUUUGAAAAACAACCCUCACGGCCUCAACCUCGAUGGAAACCUCUAUUGCAUUGAAAACCACCUAUAUAUGUCUGUUUGUUCCCUUGAUAGCCACUGUUAUAAUCAGAACCCUUGGUCCGAUCACCCUCAUCACAAUCUUGUUUACUAGCUAUGUUAGGUUGUACGAGAACACUAUUCAAGAACUUAAUUUUCGAGCUUCACAAUCAAGCAGCAUCUCAAUCAACAGAUCAAGUGACACACCAGUAGCUGAAGCUACUACCCGUACUGAUUCACACUCAACUGGCAACCUUGCAAGAAUGAUGCUAACCAUUUCUUGAUUUGAAAUCAAACAACCCGUUGCAACCAACAUAUCACACAUGGACUUGAUCUUAGACAAAUAUUCUUUAACAAACAAAUGACCCUUUUUCUGUGAAUACAACACAUGACUGGACAAUUUUACCGUGGACUUAGUCGCAACCCUUCUUUUCAAUAGUUUCCCACAUAUAAUAACUAGUACGAGCACUAGUAAGAUAGGCUAGGAUUUCAUCACUAACAGUUGAAAGUAACCAAGAAGCCAAUAGCUUAUCUUGUUGCACAUGUAAAACAUAAUCAGAAUUUUCUACUAAUCUCCCAUAUUUAUCCUCUACAAACUGUGCUAGUACACUAAUAGCACCCAAAACAAACCCAUGCAGACCGUAUCAUUCAAGAAUCAACAUAAUUUGGAGCUUCCAUAAAACAAAAUUAUACACACCAAGCUUUAUUGUAUCGUGCUUAGGAAAUUGUUGAAGACAUCUACAAAUGUUAAGGUGGGUUUUCCUUAAACGUACUGAUUCCAACAAAAGAAAAAUCUAAGUUAGUAUGAUUAAUUAGAAAGUGAUUAAGUCAUGAUUUAGUUAGAAGUGAUGGCUUUAAGAAAAAAAAAUAUGACAUUAUUUUAUUUGGCAAUAUUGUUAAAAGUGUUAGUUACUUGAAAUAAUUAAUGAGAUUAUAAAAGUGAAAGAAACAAAUUAUGUCAAAAUUAAAGUAUAGGGGCUUAAUCCUAAAUUUGGGUAUAAUAAAGGGACUAACACCAAAUAAUUAUAAAAUUUUCAAAUAUUUUGAAAUUAAUUUUAAAUAUUAAUUAAAUACAAAUUAUAAAAAAAAAUCCCUAGCGUAGUGAGGGACAUAUUCAAUAUCAAUAAUUAUAAAAUUAGUUGUAAUAUGUAAUUGAUAUAAUAUAUAAAAUUUGAGGGUUAAAUUUGUUAUUAUACAAUUUUUUUAACUGUCGCUUCAGUUUGCCAUUUUUUAUUUUAACUGGAGUGAUCAAAAUAACUAAACUAUAUAAUGUGGGUGCUUAAAUUACAAAUUUUUUACUUUAAGUGUUUAAAUUGAAAAAAAAAAUUAUAAUUAAAUGAUAAUAUAUGUAGUUUGCCCAAAAAUUUUAUAACCCAAACUACACAAUUUUAUGGCCAUCUCCCACUUUUGAUAUCUCUUUGGCCAUUAGUUAAGAUGGGAGUGGAAUGACUUAUUCAAGAUUAGUGUCAACAUUAGAUUUAAAACCUACGGAAGUCAUGUUUCAAUUUCUUAUAUAAUAAUAUAACAUUUAAAGAUUUUUUUUUAAAAAAAUCUAUUGAUUGUGUUUUAACUCGAUUGACAUGAGUAUUGUUGCUAAUGCAGGAGGACGUGGGUUUGAGCGCGUUGAAGCGCAUUAUCCUCGUAUUUAUAGGUUGGAGAGGGAUCAUGAGUAGUUUUAGGCAAUGUGUCAACAAAAUCAAAUAUAAACAGAAAACCUAUAGGUGCAAAUUUUGUUGAGUCAAUUUGGUGGGAGUGUUUGUGGGAUUGUGAAGGGAGUAUCCAUAGUCAUCAUAUCAAGAGUAAGGUGAAGGCUGGUAAAAGUUUAACCGUGAAGGUUAGACAUUAGGUAAUCUUAGCUCGACGUGGUGAGGUGAGGUUCUUAGAAAUUCAAAGGGUCAUGUCAUUGCUAUGUUUCAGGUUCUUUAGGUGUUCGAGAGUGUUUCUUUUUGGAUUCCUAGUGGAUUAUAGACUGAAAGCUUAUGGUUGAAUCCGACUCCAUAGUCGAGCUUUCUUGGUGUAUCAAUGAGAAAUCUAGGCCUUGGAAAUAUUGGCACAUUUGAUGAGCUUAGUGAGGUUUUGUUUAGAAAAAAUGGAAGAGAUGCUAACGUUAUGGCAGAUUUGUUGGAGAUGUCCGGGGUGUUUCGAUUUCAAAUGUUUUCUGUAGACUGGUGAUUGAUUGGAGGCUUAUCGUUGAGCGCACUUAUGAUGAUGUAUGAUGUAUGAAAGGGUGUUUCGAUUUCAAAUGUUUUCUGCACACUGGUGAUUGAUAGGAGGCUUAUCGUUGAGCUCACUUAUAAUGAUGGUACAUUCAUACAAUCAUCCUUUCCUAAUGAAUUUUCAACCAACAAUUUUGCACGAAUCUUAUCUCUAUUAAUAUAUGAAAAAAAUCAUUUUAUUAGGUUAUUUCUACUAAGUAUUAAUGAAUGUAGGAUACAAUAAUAAAAUACAUUAUAUUUUUAUAGAAAAAUAUAAGUUCAAAUCUUGAAUACUAUAUUAUUGAAAGGGCAGUUAGGAAUCCGGAACUUAGAUAUUAAAAUAGGUAUGAAGAAGUAAAAAACAAAAACAAAAUUUUAUUUCUAAAAAACAAAAACUUUGCAGGACUUAUCUUAUAUCUAUAAAAGAACUCAUUGGAUUAGGUUUUUUUUUUUUAAAUUAACUUUCCAUUUGUUAUUAGAAAACAAAACUAAAAAUGCAUCAAAUAGGGCUCUGAUAAAAAAAUUUAAAAAACCAGAAUAUUUAGGUUUGGUAUCGUUUUACUUUUACUUUAAAAUCAGUCUAAUCUGUAUCAUGCUCACACCAAACAUAUGAAGAAAAAAAAAAGUGAAAUAGUAAGGAUAUUAUUAAUUUCAUUCCAAGACAAAUUUUAGCAUACCCAAUUAGGUCCUUGGGUUAAUCUUAUGUUUUUUGUUUAGGCAUUCAGCAUUCUUGGCGUUUAGUUUAGUUAGAAUUUUAAAUUAUGAUAGAUCUGAAACUUUGAUAUUUUUGUGCAAAACUCAACCUUAAAGCUUUAUUUGUUGUCUAAAUUAUUUUAUUGAAGCCUAGGAAUUGUUGUUAUUGUUUCGGCUAAUUGACCUUAAAGCAUCAACUGCCUUUUUUUGGAUGGUCAUAUUCCUUCCAAGGGCUGAAUUACUAAAAGCCCAUGAAGUAUCCUUCUUUUUCUUAAGUGAGCCUCUGUUUCAAUGCCGCCAAAAUUUUCUUUAUCCACAUGGAAGCUGACCUGCCAUGAUGAUGUGGUAAAAAAAUGAACAAUUUGUGUUUUUUGAAAAAUAUAACACUCAAAAGAACUUUCUUUCUUCUUGCCUUCCAACUCUCACCACCAAUUCCUUAGCCCAAAUCAGUUUUGGCCUCCAGCAUUGAUCAUAACAAAAGUAAACUUUCUAUUAGAAAUAAUUUCUUUAGGUACAAAUUAAAGGGUAAGAUAUUGUUUGGGUACAAAAAAAGCAUAUGAGCUUACUUUAGAAAAGUGACAACAUUGGGCUCUUUUAGUAUUCUAUCCUCCCACCAACUUUGUCCAAUGUUUUUUGCCUUAUCACCAGACAGUAAAAGGGCCUCUGACCUUUUCAGGCUAAGCGCCUGCCUGGUGCAUGUUGGGGGAAAAGACCUUCUAAUUGAAGUUCUCUUUACUAUCUCUUUAAUUGUUUCUUAAUUGUAACAAAGGGAUAAUAUCGAACUCUCUACUUCUCAAUAUUUGAGUAUUCAACACCAGGCAUGGUAUGGUUGACAAAAGAAAGAAAAUUUGGCAUGUUCUGUACUUCAGACUGGAGCACUUUUAUAGUUUAUUAUUAUAAUUAUAUAUCUUCGGCUUAUAUAUAUACAGACAUGGACAUACCAAAACACGCAUACAUGUGCCUUAACAUAAGCAAGUUUUUUUUUUUUUUUUUGUGCGCCAUGUGCCUUGUACAAUAAAAGGAUUCUAGCACGUUCUAGAGUGCUCCUUGCGCCUCUGACUACACUGAAUAAUAUAUAUAUUUUCUAGAUGGCAGAGUACAGGGUGUCCAUAUAUGGAAGGAAACAAAGUGAAUGGGACCAGUUUGGCCAGUUGGUUUAUUAACAAUGAAAUUUAUAGUGAGACUACUGUUUGGUUAAUCCAGGUAUAGUGCCAAUAGUAUUUCUCUUCAUUCUAGUGAUUCUCCUGCUAUCUAGCUUUGCAGUAGGAUUCUUUCUUCUUUACAUCUCCAUUUGAUAAUGUUAAUUUAAGUAUUAACUGCUGGUUUUCUUGGAUGCUUUCUUGUUAAUGACUACUGUUUGGACAUGUUUAUUUAAGAAUUGCCCCCAAAUAGUUUCUUGAAUCAUCUAAAAUUGGAAAAAUUAGUCUUAUGGUAACUCUAAUGAAAAGUAUUUGAAAGUAUGCACAAGCUAAUAAUAUUUUAGAAAUUAAAAUUUAAGAUCGAUCGGUUUCUAGGGUAUCAUGUCCAUAUUAAGCAUCAUCUUUCCAGAUUACUGUUUUCUCUUUCUCUCUCUCUGUGAUAUAUUUCUCAAGUCAAAGGUAACCUUCUUCACUUGAUUUUGACUUAAUUCUGCAGUCACCACGAUUGUAUAAUGUGUACAAGCAAAUGGGAAUUGUAAAAUCUUUUCAGAAUAUUCGGGACAAUGUUUUCAUUCCACCAUUUGAAGUUACAGUUGAUCCGAAUUCUCAUCCUCAACUACACGUGUUCCUAAAAAUGGUGAGUUCUAUGUUCAUCGGAGAACAUACUGUGCCAUUGUUAUUGGGGUAACGGAAAAUAUAGUUAAAAAAUGCUUCUUUAUUGGAAUGACCUGCAUUAUAGCAAGCUGAAUAAAUGAUGCCUUAACUUAAUUCAUUGUGUUCUCAUAAUUCUUUAAAACCAUUCAAAAAUUCUCUUGAGCCACAUUAUAUGGUCAAUUUUUGGGUCUGUACUGCAUAUUGAACAUGGGUACAUCCUUGCGAUUUUAGAUGGAUGGAGUUGGACAGCAAAGCAAUUGAACCCAAUUUAUGGUUUCUAAAUGUUAGAUCAUUUAUGGUUUCUAGUUUCAAUUUUUUUUUAAAAAAAAAAAAUCCAAAUCAGCCAAGUAAUGAAAUUUUCAAUGAUGUUAGUUAUUUUAACUAAUCCAUAACAUGUUUGCUUCUUUUUUUUUUUAGCCUAGCAGCGGUGUUAGCCUCUGGACUAGUUACCGCCCUGCUUUUUCUCUAUUAACCCUUUUUAUUUUUCUUCUUCUCAUUCACUCCAUGAGUCUUCGUUCUUUUCAAUUUACAGAUUUAUUUUGUGGGUAUUUUUGUUGUCUUUACAAGUUGUGAUGGACAGGUGACAAUGCCUAUCAUCAUUGAAACACCACCGACCACCAACACUUUCUUUUAGAAAGUGGGUACCUCUUCGUUGACUUCUUAAUUUGUUUAUGUUUUGAGAGUUUCAAAAUAAUAAAUGAUUUCAUGACUCGGUUUAGACUCAUGUUAUCUUAAGUUUUAUAUGUUUUUUUUGUUUAUUUUUCCAUUGUUUAAUAAGUCUUUACUUUUAGAAGUUUUUGUCUACUCUUGUAGUACGCUUUUUAGUCUUGCUUUUGAGAGUAAUUUUAGGGUUGGUUUUGUCACCGCAUCCCCUCUAGUUUGGUGGAUGCUCAGUUCUUUUGCUGAUUUAUGCCCGCCGCUUUGGACCAUCCGGGGUUGAUUUUCUUACCAUAUUAAGUGCUUGUAAUAACUCCUGAUAUGUUGUGCUUGAGUUGUGACAGAGCCAAUUUUAACAUGCCAUAAUGUUCUAUUAAUGUUGAAGCUAAAGGUUUUGUUGUGUUGAUGGAACUUGUCCUUUAACGAGUACAACGAGUGUUUGUUAUUUUCCCCCCGAAUUGUAUGGUAUUAUUCAUUGAAUAAAAUAAUGUUGUCUUAAAAAAAACUAAUCCAUAACAUUAACAUUAAUAAGAGAACAAAAUAUAUCAAAUUAAAUAAGAAAAUCAGAAUCUUUAAUUCAAUUGAGUAAUUAUAGGGAUUAAAACUAUAAAUUGAUCUAUAAUAAUUUCUCAGGCAUUAAUUGUAAGAUUAUUUCCAUAACCUAAAUUAUUGUAGGGGCUAUAUAAGCUCAAGGUUGACGCAAAAGUCAAUAGUCAGCGUCUAAAAGUUAAUGCAAUUAAUUAUGUCAUUGUUUAUAUAUUUAACGCAAAUAUAUUAUCAUAUGUGUAAUGUCAUAUCAUCUUAUUAUUUCCAUAUGUUACUAAAAAUCUAGUUAACGGACUAAGAAUUGUCAUUUGCAUCAAAACUGAAAUUUCAAAAUUUGAAAAAUAUAGGUACUUAUAAUAAUCCAAUUGGAGAGUAUGGACUAAAUCAACAAUUGUACGCAUAAUAUAAGACUAGUAAUUGGUUUUAAUUAAAUUGAUUUAACUUUAUUGUUUGGGUCACAACUAAAAUUUUAAAAUUCAAAAUGUAUAGGGAUUAAAAUUGAUCAAAUUGAAGUAAAUAGACUAAAUUUACAACUUUCACAAAGAACAGUGACCAACAGCAGAAUUUAACCUAAUAAGCUCACCAAAGUCAAUAGUCAAUCUUUGAAAAGUAAUGCAAUUAAUUAUGUCAUUGUAGAAACGCUUUCCUGACAUAAAAUUCCACCAACUAAGCCUUUUGCGUACAUAUUAGCUAUGAAAAUUCAACCAUUGAUGUUAAAUUCAAGACCCCACAAAUGACAGACAUAUGUUGGAAAAAACUUUGUGUGAACAUUUCUUUUUGAGUUUCCAAAUUCACUAAGCGAAAUUGAUCACAGUAACAAGUUGCAUGGAAAGCUCCCAAUAUGGAUAGGGAAUGCAUCAUUUUUGUGGAGAUUAAAUUUGUCCAACAAUGGUUUUGAAGGUUCUAUUCCAAUGGAAUUUUGAAAGUUGAACAGGUUGGAAUUUUUGGAUCUUUCUCAAAAUAAUUUAUCUGGCUCUAUACCGUCAUAUUUUAAUCCACCAUACAUAGAGCAUGUCCACCUCCACGGGAAUAGACUGAGAGGCACACUAUCACUUGCUUUUUAUAAUAACUCUUCAAUAGUGACUUUAGAUCUUAGAGGAAACAAUUUGACAGGUAGUAUUCCAAAAU